rnacentral:tRNA from 1 species
GCGGAAGUGGUGAAAUAGGCAGACACGCCAUCUUGAGGGGGUGGUGCCGCGCAGGCGUGCGGGUUCAAGUCCCGCCUUCCGCA